GCCUCCUGUACUUGCCCUGACUGCAACCUUUUUGGUGUAUGGGACAAUGCUCCAACCAACUUAGUCACCCAGCCAGGGCUUUACAGGAUUUCUGUAACUUUUCUGUAACUGGGACCACAUCUGUAACUGGAUUCUGCUCUUUGGACUUUGUACUAAGAACUGGAAUUAUGUCACUUACUUCAAAAGCAGUUAUUGGGGGCUUGAAAAUACAUUCUAUGAAGAGCCUACUUUUAUGAUUUAUACGAUAUUUUUUAAUUUUCAGAGCCCUUUUUACAUUGUCAUCUGAUUCGUUUGAAAUAGGUUAGAUUAUUCCCAUUUCAAUGGUGAAAGUAUAAUAUAAUCCAAUUAAAGUGUUCAGCCUAUUGUUGAAACUGGAAAGCAAGUUUCUUUGCUAUACUUAAAACCUUAUCUCCACCUUCAAAUUAUAUUCCAAGUACUUGCUUGUACUUAAAAUACAACCAUUGUAGUAUUGGCUACCACUUUUCUCUUACCAGGACUCUGCAAGAGCCUUCUGAAUGAUGUCCCUGUAUCCUUUUUGUUUCACACAAUUAUUUUCUCGUGCAGAAUGGUCCAGUUAAAAUGCUCCUCAGCUCACAUCACCCUCAUACUUGGAACACUCCAGUGACUGUUGCUUACCAAGGCCUAUAAAAUACCCUGUGUAACUUGGUAUCUGGGUGUUUUUCAGCCUUUUCAACCACUUUUCCCCUUGUUUGUGCUCCUCUGUCCAUACUCGCCCCACAGGAAGAAAUCUAUUCUUGUUUAGAGGUUCUGUACAUUAUGUUGUUGUUUCUGUAUGUCCUCCUGGUAUUCAGUAAUGUAAUGUGUCUGCUUAAAUGUCACCCUCUCACAGAGGCCUUCUCUACCCUUCCUGGUCUUCUCUGAAACAGGCAUCCCCAUCAUUGUCUGUCCUUUUCACUGCUUUGUUCUUUCCUUGUGCUUAACAUAACCUGAUGUUAUUUAUUCAUAGUCAUUCUGUAAUAACAUGGCAUAAUGUGUUCCUGAAAGUAACCAUACUAGGCAGAAUUAUAGCAAGGGGUUUAUGGGCAAAAUAUUAAAAAAUGUGAUGCAUUUAAAAAGCAUACUAAUCUAACAAAAAUCAUACCAUAUUAAAUGUUUAAAGAGUACAUGAACAAUAUAAUACAUAUGACAUUUACCUUGACCACGAUCUGAAAUAGGUUUGUGGAAGUGGACAUCUUGAAAGGGUUGCAGCUUGUAAGUUAUUGUGAUGUGAUGGAAGGAGGGUUAUCUGAAAUAAAUCUCUGAAAGUUGUAACACCAAUUGUGGAUGGAUAUGACAACUCAUACAAGUGAAUUGAAGUGGUUGGCAGAUGUUUUAGAGGUGUGUGUGUGAGUGUUGCUUUGUAAAUUCCUGUGAAGCUUGGUUCAUCUGAGUGCAACUAUUGUUUCUCAAAGUAAAAUCGCUCAUAAGUAAGUGGGAAAUAAUGUGUUGUGCUCAAAUUUCCUGGUACAUCAGUAGCACUCAAGCAAAUUUGUGUUUUCAUAACAAGUAUUAUAACAGAACUGCUGUAAUAGUUAAUGUUUGCUUGUCUUUUGUGGAAUAUAAACCACAAGAACGGAGUGCAUUUGUUUUAUGGGUGGACAAAAUAAUAUUGGGAUUAUCAUGAUUUCAAUUAUUGCACUUUUCUUGAAUGGUGAUUCUCAAAUUUGAAUGCGUAUACUAUCCCCUGGGAUCUUGCUAAAGUGCAUAUUCUAGUUCAGCAGUUCUGGGGUGGGGCCCCAGGAUCUGCCUCUUUAUUUUUUUAAGAGAGAGUGGGAAGGAUUGGUGGGGGGAGGGGUGGGAGAGAAACAUUGAUGUGAAAGAGACACACCAAUUGGUUGCCUCCUGCACACACCUCUACUGGGGCCAGAAAUUGAACUCCCUACCCUUUGGUGCUCAGGCCAAUGCUCUAGUCCACCGCUGAGAACACUGGCCAGGGUGGGUUUGCCUCUUUUUAACAAGAUCCCAGAUGGUUCCCACUUCACUGGCUGCUUGUGAAUAACAAGGUCCUAGAGUCAGCACUCCAAUGGAAGUAUAAUGUAGGCCACAAAUGCAAGUCACACAUGAUUUUUAGUAGCCAUAUUGAAGUAAAAGUGAAAUUAAAUUGAGUAUAUUUUAUAUGACCCAAUAUAUCGAAAAUAUUUCAACAUGUGCUUGAUAUUUAAAAAAUGAUUCUCUAUAAUCUUGUGCAAGGUCUGAAAGGUCUUUGAAAUCCAGUAUUGUAAUUUGUUACUAGCCACAUCCCAUGUGCCUACUUGCUACAUGUGUGACCAGUGGCUUCUGAAUUGGACAGCACAGUUCUGGAGAAUAUAAUCACCCUGUUCUGUCUAGCUUUACACAUAUUGCUAUUUCUCUAAAGAAAACUUUUAUGUGCCUUAUUUUUGAAACAUUUAUUCAAAGCAAGGUUGGAAUUAAUAGAUUCUUGAUCUACAGGCAUACUUUGGACAUUUUGCUGGUAGAGGGCCUUGUCUUUGAUUUGUGUUU